rnacentral:sRNA from 1 species
GCUGCAUGUGGUGGUGCACACCUGUAAUCCCAGCAGCUCAGGAGGCUGAGACAGGAGAAUUGCAAGUUCAAAGCCAGCCUCAGCAACUUAGCAAGACCCUGUCUCUA